GAUGAACGGCUGGCGGCGUGCUUAACACAUGCAAGUCGAACGGAGAAACGGUAGCUUGCUAUCUUUUUUAGUGGCGGACGGGUGAGUAACGCGUGGGUAACCUGCCCUUUGCAGGGGGAUAACAGUGAGAAAUCGCUGCUAAUACCGCAUACCAACUUCUUUCGCAUGAAGGAAGUUUGAAAGAUUUAUCGGCAAAGGAUGGACCCGCGUUGGAUUAGCUAGUUGGUGAGAUAACAGCCCACCAAGGCAACGAUCCAUAGCCGGCCUGAGAGGGUGAACGGCCACACUGGGACUGAGACACGGCCCAGACUCCUACGGGAGGCAGCAGUGGGGAAUAUUGCACAAUGGGCGAAAGCCUGAUGCAGCGACGCCGCGUGAAGGAUGAAGGUCUUCGGAUUGUAAACUUCUAUCAGCAGGGAAGAAAGGGCCUAUGGCCUAUGACGGUACCUGACUAAGAAGCCCCGGCUAACUACGUG
rnacentral:rRNA from 1 species